CUAGGAAAUAAUAUAGAGGAAGUAUAAGGAGUUUUGAUCUCCUUUGUGUAGGUUCGAUUCCUACUUUUCUA
rnacentral:tRNA from 1 species